rnacentral:rRNA from 1 species
UACCCGCUGAACUUAAGCAUAUCACUAAGCGGAGGAAAAGAAACUAACAAGGAUUCCCCUAGUAACUGCGAGUGAAGCGGGAAGAGCUCAAAUUUAAAAUCUGGCGGCCUCCGGCUGUCCGAGUUGUAGUCUGGAGAAGCGUUUUCCGUGUUGGACCGUGUAUAAGUCUCUUGGAACAGGGCGUCAUAGAGGGUGAGAAUCCCGUCUUUGACACGGACUACCAAUGCUUUGUGAUGCGCUCUCAAAGAGUCGAGUUGUUUGGGAAUGCAGCUCAAAAUGGGUGGUAAAUUCCAUCUAAAGCUAAAUAUAGGCGAGAGACCGAUAGCGAACAAGUACCGUGAGGGAAAGAUGAAAAGCACUUUGGAAAGAGAGUUAAACAGUACGUGAAAUUGCUGAAAGGGAAACGCUUGAAGUCAGUCACGUCUGCCAGGACUCAGCCUCGCUUCUGCUUGGUGCACUUUCUGGUUUGAUGGGCCAACAUCAAUUUUGACCGUUGGAGAAAGGCUUUGGGAAUGUGGCACCUUUGGGUGUGUUAUAGCCCUUUGUCGUAUGCAACGGUUGGGAUUGAGGACUGCAGCACGCCUUCAUGGCCGGGGUUCGCCCACGUACGUGCUUAAGAUGUUGGCAUAAUGGCUUUAAGCGACCCGUCUUGAAACACGGACCAAGGAGUCUAACAUGCCUGCGAGUGUUUGGGUGGAAAACCCAUGCGCGUAAUGAAAGUGAUAGCUGAGAUCCUCUCAUCAGGAGCAUCAGCGCCUGGACUUGAUCU